AUGCGAUAAGUAAUGUGAAUUGCAGAAUUCAGUGAAUCAUCGAAUCUUUGAACGCACCUUGCGCCUUUUGGUAUUCCGAAAGGCAUGCCUGUUUGAGUGUCAUGAAAUCUCAAUCCCCCCGGGUUUUCUGAACCCGAGGUGGACUUGGACAUGGGUGUCUGCCGUCUUGUACGGCUCGCCUUAAAUGACUCAGUGGGAUCUUCAGCAUCCGUGGCAGACGUAAUAAGUUUCGUCUCGUCCCUUGCUGUGAGGACCGCUCAUAACCUGCCAUCGCGCACCACUUUUGACUCUGACCUCAAAUCAGGUAGGACUACCCGCUGAACUUAA
rnacentral:misc_RNA from 1 species